UACGGAGGGUGCGACGUUGUCCGGAAUCACUGGGCGUAAAGGGCGCGUAGGCGGCUGGGGGAAGUCUGUGGUGAAAGCUCGUGGCUCAACUACGAGUCGGCCAUAGAUACUCCUCAGCUCGAGCACUGUAGAGGCAGGUGGAAUUCCGGGUGUAGCGGUGGAAUGCGUAGAGAUCCGGAAGAACAUCGGUGGCGAAGGCGGCCUGCUGGGCAGUAGCUGACGCUGAGGCGCGACAGCGUGGGGAGCAAACAGG
rnacentral:rRNA from 1 species